rnacentral:lncRNA from 1 species
ACCUGGAUGUCUCCUCUGGGCAGUGAGCCAUGGAAUGCUGACCCUGAGGUUUCCUGUGUGGUGGGAUCUGUUGCACGCAGAUUGGAAUACUGCUGACUGGGAGCUGUGGCACGCUGACAUGGAUGUCUCCUCUGGGCUGCGAGCCCUGGCACACUGAUCCCGAGUUCCCAUCUGUGGUUGGAUCUAUUGCACGCAGAUUGGAAUACUGCUGGCUGAGAGCUGUGACACGCUGACCUCGAUGUCUCCUCUGGGCGGUGAGCCAUGGCACGCUGACCCCGAGGUCUACUCUCUGGUUGCAUCUGUGGCACGGAUUGGAAUAAUCCCGCUGGCUGAGAGCUGUGGCACCCUGACCUGGAAGGCUCGUCGGGGCUUCGAUCUGUUGCACGCUGACCCCGAGUUCUCCUCUGUGGUUGGAUCUGUUGCACGCAGGUUGGAAUACUGAUGGCUGGGAGCUGUGGCAUGCUGAUCUGGAUGUCUCCUCUGGUCUGUGAGCUUUGGCACACUGAUCCCGAGGUCUACUCUCUGGUUGCAUCUGUGGCACACAUUGGAAUAAUCCCGCUGGCUGAGAGCUGUGGCACCCUGACCUGGAAGGCUCGUCGGGGCUUCGAUCUGUUGCACGCUGACCCCGAGUUCUCCUCUGUGGUUGGAUCUGUUGCACGCAGGUUGGAAUACUGAUGGCUGGGAGCUGUGGCAUGCUGAUCUGGAUGUAUCCUCUGGUCUGCGAGCCUUGGCACACUGAUCCCGAGGUCUACUCUCUGGUUGCAUGUGUGGCACACAAAUUGGAAUAAUCCUGCUGGCUGAGAGCUGUGGCACACUGACUUGGAAGACACCUCUACUCUUCUAGCUGUGGCACACCAACCCUGAGGCCUCCUCUGUGGUUGGAGCUGUGGCACGCUUACUUGGAAUACUUCUCCUGGCUUGGAACUAUGGCAUGCACACCUUGAUAUCUCCUCUGGUCUGCGAGCCGUGGCACGCUGACCCUGAGGGCUAAUCUGUGGUUUCAUUUUGGGCACGCAAACUGGAAUAAUCCUGCUGGCUGAGAGCUGUGGCACCCUGGCCUGGAAGACUCCUCGGGGCUUCAAUCUGUUGCACGCUGACCCUGAGGCCUCCUCUGCAGUUGGAGCUGUGGCACGCCUACUGGCAAUACUCCUCCUGGCUUGGAACUAUGGCAAGCUGAACUGGAUGUAUCCUCUGCGCUCUGAGCCAUUGCACGCUGACCCCGAGGUCUCCUCUGUCGUUGGAUCUGUUGCACGAAGGUUGGAAUACUGCUGGCUGAGAGCUGUGGCACGCUAACCUGGAUGUAUCCUCUGGUCUGCGAGCCUUGGCACCCUGAUCCUUAGGUCUAAUCUCUGUUUGCAUGUGUGGCACACAAAUUGGAAUAAUCCUUCUGGUUGAGAGCUGUGGCACCCUGACCUGGAAGACUCCUUGGGGCUUCGAUCUAUUGCACGCUGACCCUGAGGCCUCUUCUGUGGUUGGAGCUGUUUCACGCCUACUGGGAAUACUCCUCCUGGCUUGGAACUCUGGCAUGCACACCUUGAUGUCUCCUCUGGGCUGCGAGCCAUGGCACACUGAUCCCGAGGUCUACUCUCUGGUUGCAUCCGUGGCACACAAAUUGGAAUAAUCCUGCUGGCUGAGAGCUGUGGCACGCUGACCUGGAUGUAUCCUCUGGUCUGCGAGCCUUGGCACCCUGAUCCUUAGGUCUAAUCUCUGGUUGCAUCUGUGGCACACAAAUUGGAAUAAUCCUGUUGACUGAGAGCUGUGGCACGCUGACGUGGAAGACUCCUCUGCUCUUCGAGCUGUGGCACACCAACCCUGAGGCCUCCUCUGUGGUUGGAGCUGUGGCACACCUACUGUGACUACUCCUCCUUUCUGGGAGCUAUGGCAUGGUCAUCUGGAUGUCUUCUGUGGGCUGCGAGCUGUGGCACGCUGAGCCUGAAGGCCUACUCUGUGGUUGGCUUUGUUGCACGCAUAUUGGAGUACUGCAGGCUGAGAGCUGUGGCACGCAGAUCUGGAUGUCUCCACUGGGAGGUGAGCCAUAGCAUGCUGACCUCGAGUUCUCCUCUGUGCUUGGAUGUGUUGCACGCAGGUUGGAAUACUGAUGGCUGGGAGCUGUGGCAUGCUGAUCUGGAUGUCUCCUCUGGUCUGUGAGCUUUGGCACACUGAUCCCGAGGUCUACUCUCUGGUUGCAUCUGUGGCACACAUUGGAAUAAUCCCGCUGGCUGAGAGCUGUGGCACUCUGACCUGGAAGGCUCGUCGGGGCUUCGAUCUGUUGCACGCUGACCCCGAGUUCUCCUCUGUGGUUGGAUCUGUUGCACGCAGGUUGGAAUACUGAUGGCUGGGAGCUGUGGCAUGCUGAUCUGGAUGUAUCCUCUGGUCUGCGAGCCUUGGCACACUGAUCCCGAGGUCUACUCUCUGGUUGCAUGUGUG